rnacentral:rRNA from 1 species
UACGGAGGAUCCAAGCGUUAUCCGGAAUCAUUGGGUUUAAAGGGUCCGUAGGCGGUUUGGUAAGUCAGUGGUGAAAGCCCAUCGCUCAACGGUGGAACGGCCAUUUGAUACUGCCAGACUUGAAUUAUUAGGAAGUAACUAGAAUAUGUAGUGUAGCGGUGAAAUGCUUAGAGAUUACAUGGAAUACCAAUUGCGAAGGCAGGUUUACUACUUAAUGAUUGACGCUGAUG